GCCAGACUCCUACGGGAGGCAGCAGUGGGGGAUAUUGCACAAUGGGGGAAACCCUGAUGCAGCGACGCCGCGUGAGUGAAGAAGUAUUUCGGUAUGUAAAGCUCUAUCGGCAGGGAAGAAAAAAAUGACAGUACCUGACUAAGAAGCCCCGGCUAACUACGUGCCAGCAGCCGCGGUAAUACGUAGGGGGCAAGCGUUAUCCGGAUUUACUGGGUGUAAAGGGAGCGUAGGCGGCCAUGCAAGUCAGAAGUGAAAACCCGGGGCUCAACCCUGGGAGUGCUUUUGAAACUGUCAAACUAGAGUACGGGAGAGGUAAGAGGAAUUCCUAGUGUAGCGGUGAAAUGCGUAGAUAUUAGGAGGAACACCAGUGGCGAAGGCGUCUUACUGGACCGAAACUGACGUUGAGGCUCGAAAGCGUGGGGAGCAAACAGGAUUAGAUACCCUUGUA
rnacentral:rRNA from 1 species